GCACGGUCUAGUUUACUAGAUGGGUGGCGAGUGGCGGACGGGUGAGUAACGCGUAGGAAUAUGCCUUAAAGCGGGGGAUAACUUGGGGAAACUCAAGCUAAUACCGCAUAAUCUCUAUGGAGAAAAGCUGGGGACCUUCGGGCCUGGCGCUUUAAGAUUAGCCUGCGUCUGAUUAGCUAGUUGGUAGGGUAAAGGCCUACCAAGGCGACGAUCAGUAGCUGGUCUGAGAGGAUGACCAGCCACACUGGAACUGAGACACGGUCCAGACUCC
rnacentral:rRNA from 1 species